rnacentral:rRNA from 3 species
GGACUACUCGGGUAUCUAAUCCCGUUUGCUCCCCUGGCUUUCGCGCAUCAGCGUCAGAAAGGGUCCAGCGCCUCGCCUUCGCCACCGGAGUUCCGCUGGAUAUCAACGCAUUUCACCGCUCCACCCAGCGUUCCAGACGCCCCUACCCUCCUCAAGACUCGCAGUAUCCACGGCACUUCCCCGGUUGAGCCGGGGGCUUUCACCACAGACUGGCGAGCCCGCCUACGCGCCCUUUAAGCCCAGUGAAUCCGAACAACGUUCGCACGGUUCGUCUUACCGCGGCUGCUGGCAC